UUCGUAUACGUUAAUGUUUCUCAACUGAUCACAUGUCCCGCGGAUCAAUUAAUAUUGAAAUUUUUGUACUUCGACUAAAUGAAAUGAAAUGUUCAGUGAUCUGUGAAUUAUCAAUUGAGAAAAACUGGUAUACGUUAUUUUUUAUAACAUGAUUAUUCUCUUAUCAAAGAAAACAGAAGUACAUAGAAGCUCACAAGUCAACUUUUUGUGUAACCACAAUCGUCUUAGUUAGUACCCUGACCACCAGUGAGCGAGAAAGACCCCCACCUGUCAUGAGUUCUGCUGUCAACGCGGAAGCACCUUUUUUCGGAAGGCUCACCAGACAUGACGUCGCAAUGGCUGAGUUUUAGAUAUUUUUCAACAAAAA
rnacentral:lncRNA from 1 species